GCCUGGAUGGCUCAGUCGGUUGAGUGUCUGACUUUGGUUCAGGUCAUGAACUCAGGGUUGUGGGUUCGAGUCCCACGUCGGGCU